AGUAUCAAACCCAGCAAAAUCAUAUUGACAUGAUGAAUUGAGACUUGUGGCUGGACCUGCUCAGGGAGGGUUAAGUGGGGCUGAUGUGUCCGAGGGGCAUGCCUACAUAAGUGACAUUACAAUUUUACUAGGAUUUCUUCGAUCUAAUAAAUCUCUUGGGUAUUCCGCCAUUUCUGUACUGGUUGUGUUGUUUACUAGGGUUUCAAUUAUAGUCAUCUCUCUGCAUGAUGCUACAAGUCUCAAUGAAUUUCUAUAGCAAUGAGAUAGGGAGGAUUGGGUACAAUUUGCGGCUUGACUCAUCAAGUUUAUCUGAAUGUGUUUUAUGUCUACAGAAUCCAAGUGACAUGGGUGUAAGUUUGAAAAAGGUAAUAGCUGUCUGAGACUCUGAGUACUCUGCCAAGAUAUGUCCAGAAAGAGAGUGGAAGUGUUAGUAUUUCAAAGGGAAGAUCAAACUCAACUUGUAUAUGGAAGAGAUGCAGAUCAAAUAAAUCGAAUCAGGCCAAAUUGGUUUGUGUCUACAGAGUCCAAAUGACAUGCGUGUAAGUUUGAAAAACAAAUCAGCUGAGUUGGAGUGCUAGUAUUCUAAACGACAGAUCAGACGCAUGUGAAAGAGAUGCAUAUUAAAUUAAUUGAAUCAGGACAAAUAUACCAAAUAUACGAGCGCCUUGACUUGCGUGGAGUUUUCGUCACAAGCCUUGAAUCACCACCACCACCAUCUCUUAUCAAUCCCUCUGUCCGUCUCUCUCCACCUUUAUCUCUUCCUUCCUCUCUCUCUUUCCUGAAGGUUGCUCACAGGCUUGUUAUGAAAACUCCUUUGCUCAAACACUGUGAAUGACUUUUAUAGCUAUGAGAUCUGGGGGCAUCAGGAAAUCAACUGCCAUGGGACAAGAGGUUAUUAUGAGCAAAGACUGGGUAUUUGAGCUAAAGAACCGAAGAGGAAGAUGUGAUUGUAUCAGCUCUGCAAGGAUUUCACAUUGCAAUUGCAGUACAGGGAAUGCUGCUCCUUGUGAAAGUUCAGAUGAUUUCACUUGACUACUGUUUGAAGUCGGUAUGUUGGGAAAUUGAAGUCACCACCACCAUGGAACCCAGAUCGAAAUUUGUGAAAAAAAUAUGCAUGUCUAUAUAAAGACUGAUGUGGUACGCGAAUCAACUUCACAAUUCCCGGGAAGUGUAGCCUUUAGGGUUAUUCUACUAACUGUUGUCUGAAAUUAUUUCGGUGCAGGUUACAAGGGUUAUAACCAAGCAUUGGUGCAACUGUGUAUGAGCUAUGCAGUAUUUUCCGUUUUAUUUGUGUUUGUGUUUCUUAAUACCAGCAAAUUUGCAUCUAAAAAAAAGAUAAUAAGGGGAUGUAUAAGGUGUCAUCGAGCUAAAGUUAUGAGCUUAUGGCAGCAGGACCAUCAAAAGAAAGAUUGUACUCGUGUUUGCAUUGGUAGUGUUUAAGAAAGUCCACUUGCUUUUCUAUUAAUUAACCAUAAAACAAACAUGCAAAUGUGAUGUUUGGCUGGUAAGCAAGGGCUCAAAAAUAAACGUGUGAUCUAGGGCCUUGUGUUUGAUGUUUCACUACAAUGUAUUUUUAUGUGUUUUGUUGCGUCUCAUCUUCUUUUCUUGUGCUGGA